AUUGAACGCUGGCGGCAGGCCUAACACAUGCAAGUCGAGCGAGCGGCGGACGGGUGAGUAAUGUAUGGGGACUGCCCGAUAGAGGGGGAUAACUACUGGAAACGGUGGCUAAUACCGCAUACUAUCGGAUAACCCAUAUGGGAUUAGCUAGUAGGUGGGGUAAAGGCUCACCUAGGCGACGAUCUCUAGCUGGUCUGAGAGGAUGAUCAACCAAAUUGGGACUGAGGCACGGCCCAUGCUCCUCCGGUGGCAGCCUUGGGGAAUAUUGCACAAUGGGCGCAAGACUGAUGCAGCCAUGCCGCGUGUAUUGAGAAAGCCUUAGGGUUGUAAAGUACUUUCAGCGGGGAGGCGUUUCCCGCAGAAGAAACACCGGCUAACUCCGUGCCAGCAGCCGCGGUAAUAC
rnacentral:rRNA from 1 species